CUGAGCCCCAGCUGAGCAGAGGUUGGCUGCUCUUGUGCCUAAGGCAUGGGCUGGAACUCACAAGAUCUGGCUUUAGUUCCCAGUUUUGCCGCUGACUCCAUGUGUGACCUUUAAAGAGUCACUUCAUUUCUCUGUGCCUCAGUUUCACUAUCUGUGAAAUGGGUAACAUUGCUUGUCUAUUUGUAUUGUAACCAUCUCUCGCUCUGUGUCCUUGCAGUGCCAGAGCAAGGGUACCCAAUCUCAGUUCAGGUUUGUGCAGCACCUGGCACAAAGGGGCCCUAAUCUCAGGUGGGGCUGGUAGGCAGCACUGUAAUAUAAAUAAGUAAUAGCUAUAAGAGAAAUCUAUUUGCAUCCUGGAAAACAACAGCGCUUGCUCCAUAAAUUUCACACACUCCUGGAUGAAUGGUCGUUAUCCAGUGCUCCUCGGGGUGGAGCAUGUGGGUGUGGCACCAUGUGUUGUUAUUUCAAAUGGAAACUCCCCAUUCUCUCAUCUUCCUUUUAGAGUUAAAGAUGUCCAAAGAAUUCAACGUGUUUAACAGUCGACUUCUUAAUGAGUUAAAGAUGUCCAAAGAAUUCAACGUGUUUAACAGUCGACUUCUUAAUGGUAUGUUCUGCUGAUGUUUCUCAAGAGGUUGGGCAUAAAUAGUUCCCUUGUCACAAGACGUGCACUAAAAUCAUGGGGGUUGCCCAUGGGUGGGGUCUCUCCCUUUGAGGCGCCCAUGUACAGCAGUUCUUUUCUGCCCCCUGUUAUUUUCAGUGUCCAAGGAGCUGGCUGGCAGGAAAUGUCUGGGAGUGAGAACAAUGCAAUGGGGGCAUAGCACAAUGCGCUCCCACAAUUGCCCCUUCCACAUUAACACAAGGAGAGCUUGGGCCCGACAAAUACAUUCCUUUCCUUUUUAACUUUGCAACCAGCUAACCACACACAAACCGAGACAGGCUCCU
rnacentral:lncRNA from 1 species